rnacentral:rRNA from 1 species
GUCCACGCCUUAAACUAUGAAUACUAAGUGUCGGCGGUUUACCGCCGGUGCCGCAGCUAACGCAUUAAGUAUUCCGCCUGGGAAGUACGGCCGCAAGGUUGAAACUCAAAGGAAUUGACGGGGGCCCGCACAACCGGUGUAGCAUGUGGUUUAAUUCGACGCAACGCGAAGAACCUUACCCAGGCUGGACAUGCAGGUAGUAGAAGGGUGAAAGCCCAACGAGGUAGCAAUACCAUCCUGCUCAGGUGCUGCAUGGCUGUCGU